CUCUAGCCCCAACUGUGCCAUGACUAUCAGGCUCCUCUGCUACGUGGGCUUUUAUUUUCUUGGGGCAGGCCUCAUGGAAGCUGACAUCUACCAGACCCCAAGAUACCUUGUUAUAGGGACAGGAAAGAAGAUCGCUCUGGAAUGUUCUCAAACCAUGGGCCAUGACAAAAUGUACUGGUAUCAACAAGACCCAGGAAUGGAACUACACCUCAUCCACUAUUCCUAUGGAGUUAAUUCCACAGAGAAGGGAGAUCUUUCCUCUGAGUCAACAGUCUCCAGAAUAAGGACGGAGCAUUUUCCCCUGACCCUGGAGUCUGCCAGGCCCUCACAUACCUCUCAGUACCUCUGUGCCAGCAGUGAAUACACAGUGCUACAUGGAUACCAACACUCCGCACAGAAAGGGUCGCCUCUAAGGUGAGGACAUCUUGCCUCCAGAAACCUCAUCUUAAACUACAGAAACCCCUACAAAUCUUCCCAGACUCCUCAGCCUUGAGGGACCAGUGUGCUUUAAGUAACAGUCUGGACUAAAGACUAUCUCUGGCUCAGUCUCUAACAAGCUGAGAAAUGACCCAGCCCCACAGUUAUCCUAGCUGACUUCUUCCUUGCUUCUAGUUGUUGUUGUUCAAUUGAGCUUGCACAAAUUUUAUCCUUCAAGAUAAAUGUGAUAAUAUUUGACAGUUACCUUAUGGCUAGCUGAAGAAAGUCUUUGUCAGCUAAGAAACAGGAAAAGGAUCCUUUGACUUUCUGCACAGGCUGUCUUUAUCUCUGGUUCAUGGUUCCUUCCUCAUGUUAAACUUGUUCCUUCAUACACAGCCACACAAAGUCCCUGCCCUUUCCUGACCCCAGUCCUGCACCUGACGGCUUCAGUUCCUCAAUCUAUGACUUUGAACUUAGAAUAAAAUUUUAUUUUCACUUGAAAUAAGUGAUUAAUGAUUAUUUUCACUAAUAUCCCUCUAAAUAAAUGUAAUUUUAGCUAUAUCUGCAUGAGGCCUAAGGAAAAGAAAAGGCUCCAACUUUGGCAAAGAAUAGUCUUUAACAAUGUCCCUGGAUUCAGCCCUAAAUCUCUUUGGAGACUACCCUUAGCAUUGGAAGACUAUCCCACGGCUAGGUGAUUCUUCUGUCUUGGAUAUGCUGAAUCUCAGGGAAGUGUUCUCUAUCCACAUGAGAUCACACCUGGGACCCUGAAUAGAUUUAUUUUUCACAGAAGUAUAGACUGCUGUGGGGCCCUGGAUGCUGAGCUCAGAUGUGAAAUCUCUGUUUUGAGGUUACCAAAAAGUAAAGUCACAGAGUCUCUGUCCUGGUUUUGCCUCCUUAAAAAGUAGCUUUAAUAUGUUAGAAAAGAAUCUAGAAAACAUCAUACAUAUUUUAUUGUAAAAGUCAUUUCUUGUUCAUUCUUCUUUUCUGUUUGUUUUCUACAAUACUAGCCAUUCCUCACUCUUCUUUGUGGGCUCUUUCUAUUCUCAUUUUCCUUAUUUUGACCUUAUUUCUGGACUUUUUGUUCUUUUCCUCUUAACCUAUACAUACAUCUUAGACAAUAUCAUCCAAUCUAUUACUUGAAGCAUAUGUCUCAUUAGUUUCAAACUUAUUCUCUAGCUGCCUACUAGAUAUUUCCACCUCUAUAUUUCAUAGGCUCCUCAACUCAACUUGUCCCCAACAGAGUUAAUCAUCCUUCCAAUAGCAUAUCCUCUUUUGGAGACACCAUCAUCUUGGGAGGCUCAUCUCCAAUGGUCAGGUGUCCUUAGCAAACACCUAGAAGAUUAAAAACCCUUCCUUACUGAACUCUUAGCCUCGUGCCUUACCCUUCUGGCCUUCUUGCAAAAGUGAUAUGCAUCAGAGAGUUGGCCCUCUGUAUUCAUGAGUUCCACAUCCCUGGAUUCAACCAACCACAGAUCAAAAAUAUUUUUUUCAAAAAUCGUGUCUAUACUGAACACAUACAGACUUUUUUCAUUGUCACCAUUCUAAACAAUACACUAUAACAACCAUUUACAUAACAUUGCAUUGUAUUUGGUACUAUGAAUUAUUUACAGAUGACUUAAAGUAUAUGGGAGUAUAUGCAUAGAUUAUAUGUAAAUACUAUACCAUUUUUUAUCAGGGACUUGGGCAUUUGUAGAUUUUGUUAUCCUUGGGAGGUCUUGGAACCAAUUCCCCAAGACACUGAGAGAUAACUGUAGACAAAUAUGAUCAUGCUACUGGAUCCCUCCAUCAUUUCUCCAUGUUUCUCCCUCAUAUUCAAGAUAAAAUUUAAAUUUCUUCACCUGGCUUAAUGGUAUUUUGUGAUCUGGACUCCAGAAAUUAGCUUAUCUUGAACACCUUAUCCUAGCUAUUUUUCAUCCUGGCAAUCCUGAACUUCUGACCAUUUUCUAUAGUCCAUGUUCUCUUACCCAUCUGAGACCCUGUACCCGCUGUCCCUCUAUCUCUGAAGUCUGCACUUCUUGUCUACAGGGCUGACUCCUACUCCAGCAUCUCAUUAAUCACUAUGCUAACACAAGAAGUCUUCAUCUGCUUCAGUUCUCAAAAGAAGUGAAAAGCAGACACUUCUCAAAAGAAGACAUUUAUGCAGCCAACAGACACAUGAAAAAAUGCUCAUCAUCACUGGUCAUCAGAGAAAUGCAAAUCAAAACCACAAUGAGAUAUCAUCUCACACCAGUUAGAAUGGCAAUCAUUAAAAAGUCAGGAAACAACAGAUGUUGGAGAGGAUGUGGAGAAAUAGGAACAAUUUUACACUGUUGGUGGGAAUGUAAACUAGUUCAACAAUUGUGGAAGACAGCGUGGCGAUUCCUUAAGGAUCUAGAACUGGAAAUACCAUUUGAACCAGUGAUCCCAUUACUGGGUAUAUACCCAAAGGAUUACAAAUCAUGCUACUAUAAAGACACAUGCACACGUAUGUUUAUUGCAGCACUAUUCACAAUAGCAAAGACUUGGAACCAACCCAAAUGUCCAUCAAUAAUAGACUGGAUUAAGAAAAUGUGGCACAUAUACACCAUGGAAUACUAUGCAGCAAUAAAAAAGGAUGAGUUCAUGUCCUUUGUAGGGACAUGGAUGUAGCUGGAAACCAUCAUUCUGAGCAAACUAUCACAACGACAGAAAACCAAACACCGUAUGUUCUCACUCAUAGGUGGGAACUGAACAAUGAGAACACUUGGACACAGGGCGGGGAACAUCACACACUGGGGCCUGUCAUGGGGUGGGGGGAGUGGGGAGGGAUAGCAUUAAGAGAAAUACCUAAUGUAAAUGAUGAGUUAAUGGGUGCAGCAAA